rnacentral:rRNA from 1 species
GACGACCGCUGGCGGCGUGCCUAACUCAUGCAAGUUGGACGGUGAAGCGCCUACCCUUUUGGUGGUGGUGGAUCCGUGGCGAACUGGUGCGUAACACGUGAGUAACCUGCCUCCUUCUUCUGGAUAACCGCCUGCAAGCGUGGCUAAUACGGGGUAAUCUGGGUCUGUCGCAUGUUGGGUCUGGGAAAGAUUAUGUUUCGGUGGGGGAUUGGCUCGCGGCCUAUCAGCUUGUUGGUGGGGUGAUGGCGUACCAAGGCGGUGCCGGGUAGCCGGCCUGGGUGAGUGGACCGUCACACUGGGACUGAAACACGGCCCAGACGCCUACGGGAGGCAGCCUUAGGAAAUAGUGCACAAUGGGCGCAAGCCUGAUGCAGCGACGCCGCGUGAGGGAUGGUGGCCGUCGGGUUGUGAACCUCUUUCGCCAGUGAAGCAGGCCUGCCUCGUUUGUGGGUGGGUUGACGGUAGCUGGAGAAUAAGCGACGGCUAGCUACAUG